CUUUCUGGUCUAUCUGGAGCAGCCUUCAGAGCUGGUCGGUUUCUCAUCCAGCCCAUGCAGACAGAGACGGCUUGACAGAGGUAGGUGCAAAGCUUUUAUGAAACUUACAUAAGAGAUGAUACGCGGCUACUCCCAGCAGAGCCCUUGAUGUUUGUAGGGGAGGAUGCCAAAUUAUUUCUGAAAAAAAAAUUAGAGAGAGAUUGAGAUUGAGGUUGAGGCUGAUGACUGAGGUAUCUGACACCAAGCAGGGGAGUUUAACUGCUGAGGGAAAGUAACAACCCAGACUGGCUGGCAAAUUAUAACUCUUUUUCCUGGGUCACCCAUCAUUUGGAUUUGUAUGAACCUAGUUUUUCCUUAAUAUUGCCAGCAUGUUAUAGGAUGGGCCACAUGAGGCCCUGCUUAACUCUGUGUGCUUUAGGGUAGGGUGGGUGCAAUGUUUGAGUUUUCUUGCAUGUUCAUUGGAAGCUAGCAAAUACAUUUGUGUCUAGUUCUUCUUGGAUGAACAAGGGAAGGUUGGUAAAAGGCAUUCUUAUUUUUAGCAACUGAAGUCAGUUUUUCAGCUUUUCUCAGCAGCUCGUAGAUUGGUCACAUCCUGUUUAAAGAUUUCGGGUUCCGUUCUCACAAGCAUGUCGCAUGUGCGUCAAAAAUGGCUAGAGCCAGCUAUAUGUCCUGCAUUUUUCUAGGUACUCUUGGCACUUUUUCUUCAUUCUUCAUUGUAGAGGUACAAAGUCUUAACCGCUGGAAAGAAAGUCCUUCUAAAUGUCAUCAUGGUUUUCUUAGUCACACGUUGACAAUAGUGGCUUGCACCAGAAUAGGAAAAGCUCCCACUCAGGAAUUCAAGGUCAAAGUACGUACAUCAAGACAAGGGUAACAACACAAGCUGCUCUAUGACUAAUUCAGUUUCUGGAAAACCAGUUAACCAGCCAAUCAUGUUCACUGCAUUUUGAAAUACCAUUCCAGAGAGCUGCCAAACUGUGGUCAUUAAACGAAGGAGUUCUGUCAAUACUGUGAGCAAAGUAUAUCUGCCAAACACUCAUAAAAGUUUUGAAGGAGAUCAUAAGGUGUGAUUUCCUACAAAAUACAUGUGUUUUUUUUCUAAGAUGAAACCGAAAUAAUUAUUAUAAAGGAUGAUAAAAUUUAGGCUCUGGCUUUAUCUUGUGAAGCACAAUGUGUGUAUGAAUCAAGUCAGAUUUGACCCGACUCCCCACUUUAGGUUUCAGUUGUGUGACAUAACAUGUUGUUGAGGGAGGGCAGAAAUAUGUAACACGAUUGGCUUUCUCUGGUGACAAAUAUAACAUGGAAAAUAAUGAAUGAAUAAGUAUAGUUUGCAACGCCGAGCAGUGAAAUGUUCUCUGGAUAUAUUAGAUUUCUGGGGAAAGGUUUGACAAAUAUAGAGGAAGUAUACAUAGUGGUUUUUGUCUAAGCUGUAUUUCACUUCACUUAAACAAACAAAAUACGCAGGGAAAGAAAAGAUAUGGUUUUGCUUCAAUGCUACAAUAUCACUAUCAGGGUACAGAACUAAGGAAUGGAAUUUGCACUAAACUAUUAUUUUAAUCUAUCCAUUUACAUUGGAAAUACAUUAAAUUUAUAACAUAUUUGCACUUAGCAUUUUUCCUUCUAAGGUAGGUUAAACUGUACUAAAGAAUACUAAUAUUCUGGGAGAGAUAAAGAGAAAUCUAAG
rnacentral:lncRNA from 1 species